AGUCUACCUGCCCACUGAAUAAAUUUAAAUGGCCGCAGUAUCCUAACUGUGCAAAGGUAGCAUAAUCAUUAGUCUUUUAAUUGAAGGCUGGUAUGAAUGGUUGGACGAGAUAUUAACUGUUUCAUAAAAAUUUAUAAUAGAAUUUUAUUUUUUAGUCAAAAAGCUAAAAUAAAAUUAAAAGACGAGAAGACCCUAUAAAUCUUUAUAUAUAAAUUAUUAGAAUUUUGUAGAUUUUUUUUAUUAUAAUAAUUAAUUAUAUUUUAUUGGGGUGAUAUUAAAAUUUAAUAAACUUUUAAUUUUUUAAAUCAUUAAUUUAUGAAUAAUUGAUCCGUUAAUAACGAUUAAAAAAAUAAGUUACUUUAGGGAUAACAGCGUAAUUUUUUUGGAGAGUUCAUAUCGAUAAAAAAGAUUGCGACCUCGAUGUUGGAUUAAGAUAUAAUUUUAGGUGUAGCCGCUUAAAUUUUAAGUCUGUUCGACUUUUAAAUUCUUACAUGA
rnacentral:rRNA from 1 species